UACGUAGGGAGCAAGCGUUGUUCGGAUUUACUGGGCGUAAAGGGCGCGUAGGCGGCCUGUCAAGUCAAUUGUGAAAUCCCCGGGCUUAACUCGGAACGGUCAAUUGAUACUGUCAGGCUAGAGUGCAGAAGGGGCAAUCGGAAUUCUUGGUGUAGCGGUGAAAUGCGCAGAUAUCAGGAAGAACACCGACGGCGAAGGCAGCUCGCUGGGACGGUACUGACGCUGAGGCGCGAAAGCGUGGGGAGCGAACAGG
rnacentral:rRNA from 1 species